rnacentral:rRNA from 1 species
AUGAACCGCGGGCGGGCGUGCUUAAACACCAUGCAAAGUCGAACCGAUGAAGGCCCAGGCUUGCUGGGGUGGAUUAAGUGGCGAACCGGGGUGAGUAAACACCGUGAGGUAACCCUGCCCCUUAAACUCUUGGGAUAAAGCCUGGGAAAACUGGGUCUAAUACCCGGAUAGGAAGCGUCCACCCGCAUGGGUGGGUGUUGGAAAGAUUUAUCGGUUUUGGAUGGACUCGCGGCCUAUCAGCUUGUUGGUGAGGUAAUGGCUCACCAAGGCGACGACGGGUAGCCGGCCUGAGAGGGUGACCGGCCACACUGGGACUGAGACACGGCCCAGACUCCUACGGGAGGCAGCAGUGGGGAAUAUUGCACAAUGGGCGAAAGCCUGAUGCAGCGACGCCGCGUGAGGGAUGACGGCCUUCGGGUUGUAAACCUCUUUCAGUAGGGAAGAAGCGAAAAGUGACGGUACCUGCAGAAGAAGCACCGGCUAACUACGUGCCAGCAGCCGCGGUAAUACGUAGGGUGCGAGCGUUAUCCGGAAUUAUUGGGCGUAAAGAAGCUCGUAGGCGGUUUGUCGCGUCUGUCGUGAAAGUCCGGGGCUUAACCCCGGAUCUGCGGUGGGUACGGGCAGACUAGAGUGCAGUAGGGGAGACUGGAAUUCCUGGUGUAGCGGUGGAAUGCGCAGAUAUCAGGAGGAACACCGAUGGCGAAGGCAGGUCUCUGGGCUGUAACUGACGCUGAGGAGCGAAAGCAUGGGGAGCGAACAGGAUUAGAUACCCUGGUAGUCCAUGCCGUAACGUUGGGCACAGGUGUGGGACCAUUCCACGGUUCCGCGCCGAGCAACGACAGGGCCCCGCCUGG